AUUGAACGCUGGCGGCAUGCCUUACACAUGCAAGUCGAACGGUAACGGGCCUUCGGGUGCCGACGAGUGGCGAACGGGUGAGUAAUGCAUCGGAACGUACCUUUCAGUGGGGGAUAACGUAGCGAAAGUUACGCUAAUACCGCAUAUUCUGUGAGCAGGAAAGCAGGGGAUCGCAAGACCUUGCGCUGAUUGAGCGGCCGAUGUCAGAUUAGCUAGUUGGUGAGGUAAAGGCUCACCAAGGCGACGAUCUGUAGCGGGUCUGAGAGGAUGAUCCGCCACACUGGGACUGAGACACGGCCCAGACUCCUACGGGAGGCAGCAGUGGGGAAUUUUGGACAAUGGGGGCAGCCCUGAUCCAGCCAUGCCGCGUGAGUGAAGAAGGCCUUCGGGUUGUAAAGCUCUUUCGGCCGGGAAGAAAUCGCACAGGCUAAUACCUUGUGUGGAUGACGGUACCGGAAUAAGAAGCACCGGCUAACUCCGUGCCAGCCGCCGCGGUAAGAC
rnacentral:rRNA from 1 species